UACGUAGGGGGCAAGCGUUGUCCGGAUUUACUGGGCGUAAAGAGCGUGUAGGCGGCCACGCAGGUCCGUUGUGAAAACUGGAGGCUCAACCUCCAGCUGUCGACGGAAACCGUGUGGCUAGAGUCCGGAAGAGGAGAGUGGAAUUCCUGGUGUAGCGGUGAAAUGCGCAGAUAUCAGGAAGAACACCAAUGGCGAAGGCAGCUCUCUGGGACGGUACUGACGCUGAGACGCGAAAGCGUGGGUAGCAAACAGG
rnacentral:rRNA from 1 species